GACAAACGCUGGCGGUAUGCCUAACACAUGCAAGUCGAACGGACAGAACAGGGAAGCUUUUCGGAGUGGAACUGGAAAGUUAGUGGCGGAUGGGUGAGUAACGCGUGGACAACCUACCUUGUAAAGGGGAAUAACCUCGAGAAAUCGAAGCUAAUACCCCAUAAUAACCUUGCUUCGCAUGAAGUAAGGAGGAAAGGCGGCCUUAGCGCUGUCGAUACAAGAUGGGUCCGCGUCUGAUUAGCUAGUUGGUGAGGUAAAGGCUCACCAAGGCGACGAUCAGUAGCCGGCCUGAGAGGGUGAACGGCCACAUUGGAACUGAGAUACGGCCCAAACUCCUACGGGAGGCAGCAGUGGGGAAUCUUCCGCAAUGGGCGAAAGCCUGACGGAGCAAUGCCGCGUGAGUGAAGAAGGCCUUCGGGUUGUAAAACUCUGUCCUUAUCGAAGAGAGAGUGUUGUAGUAACUGACAAUACUAGGACGGUAGAUGAGGAGGAAGCCCCGGCUAACUAUGUG
rnacentral:rRNA from 1 species